AAGAAUGACCUAGUGCAUUUAUUGACAUUCUUAGAGGAGCUUGUGCACAGCACAAAUUAGUGCAACCUGCUUUCUCAGUGCACAGACUGAAGAAUGUGCACCUAGAGAUCAGACAGUGCUAAACACACUUCUCAGCACUCCAGAUUGGUUUUUAAGCUAACAAAUUAUAGGAUUUAUAAAAAUGUUUAUAAAAGAAAUUUUCCUUGGACCUGUACAAUGCCUAAGACACAGUUGGUAAAGACACAAAAUUCUUUAGCUGUUCAUAAUACUGAAACAAUACAGAGUAGUAUGAUGUAAACUUAGGCUACCCUACCCAAGAGAAAUAGAUUUUUUAAAAAAUCAAGUACUCUGAAAAUUGAAUAAAUAAUUUACAAGCCUGAAAACAGGCUUCACUGUAAAAGGUGACUGAGAUUGCUUCUUGCACAUUAAAACAACAUUAAGGUUUUUGAUCAUUUGCAAUGUUAAAAAGCUUAGAGGACCCAGCUAUCCAGUCAUUUUUGUGGGUUACUGUAAAACCCAAACACCUGUUUCUGCUUAUAACUUAAAA